rnacentral:rRNA from 1 species
GGAUAUUGCGCAAUGGGCGAAAGCCUGACGCAGCGACGCCGCGUGGGUGAAGAAGGGUUUCGGCUCGUAAAGCCCUUUUCUGGGUGACGAUAAUGACGGUAGCCCAGGAAGAAGUGUCGGCUAACUACGUGCCAGCAGCCGCGGUCAAACGUAGGACACGAACGUUAUCCGGAAUUACUGGGCGUAAAGGGCGCGCAGGCGGUGGGUUAAGUUAGGCAUGAAAGCUCCCUGGCUAAACCGGGAGAGGAUGUCUGAUACUGGGCCACUGGAGUGCGAUAGAGGGGUGUAGAAUUCCGCGUGUAGUGGUGAAAUGCGUAGAGAUGCGGAGGAAUACCAGUGGCGAAGGCGGCACCCUGGAUCGACACUGACGCUGAGGCGCGAAAGCGUGGGGAGCAAACAGG